rnacentral:rRNA from 1 species
UACGUAGGGGGCAAGCGUUGUCCGGAUUUAUUGGGCGUAAAGAGCGUGUAGGCGGUUCGGUGGGUCCGUUGUGAAAACUCGAGGCUCAACCUCGAGACGCCGAUGGAAACCAUCGAACUAGAGUCCGGAAGAGGAGAGUGGAAUUCCUGGUGUAGCGGUGAAAUGCGCAGAUAUCAGGAAGAACACCCGUGGCUAAGGCGGCUCUCUAGUACGGUACUGACGCUGAGACGCGAAAGCGUGGGGAGCGAACAGG